rnacentral:rRNA from 1 species
UGCCAGCCGCCGCGGUAAUACGGGGGGUGCAAGCGUUAUCCGGAUUCACUGGGUUUAAAGGGUGCGUAGGCGGUUUUGUAAGUCGAUGGUGAAAUCUAGCAGCUCAACUGCUAACGUGCCAUCGAUACUGCUAGACUUGAGUAUAGUCGAGGUGGGCGGAAUUCUACAUGUAGCGGUGAAAUGCAUAGAUAUGUAGAGGAACACCGAUAGCGAAGGCAGCUCACUAGACUAUUACUGACGCUGAGGUACGAAAGCGUGGGGAGCAAACAGGAUUAGAUA